AUUGAACGCUGGCGGCAGGCCUAACACAUGCAAGUCGAGCGAGCGGCGGACGGUUGAGUAAUGUAUGGGGACCGCCCGAUCGAGGGGGAUAACUACUGGAAACGGUAGCUAAUCCCGCAUACUAUCGGAUAACCCAUAUGGGAUUAGAUAGUAGGUUAGGUAAUGGCUCACCUAGGCGACGAUCCCUAGCUGGUCUGAGAGGAUGAUCAGCCACACUGGGACGGAGACACGGCCCAGACGCCUACGGAGGCAGCAGUGGGGAAUAUGGAACAAUGGGCGCAAGCCUGAUCCAGCCAUGCCGCGUGUGUGAAGAAGGCCCUAGGGUUGUAAAGUACUUUCAGUCGGGAGGCGUUAUCGACAGAGGAAGCACCGGCUAACUCCGUGCCAGCAGCCGCGGUAAUAC
rnacentral:rRNA from 1 species